AACCACACUAUCGAUGAAUGGAUUCACCCGCGAGAUGACGUGGUUGUUUCACCUAGAACGAGGACAUGGCAUCCUAUUACCGGUCAUCGCAUGAAAUUAAUAGGAUGCCAUAUCCUCAUCCUAGAUAGAACAACCACGUCAUCUCACGGGUGAAUUCAUUCAUCGAUAGUGUAGUU
rnacentral:pre_miRNA from 1 species